UACGAAGGGGGCUAGCGUUGCUCGGAUUUACUGGGCGUAAAGGGCGCGUAGGCGGACAGUUAAGUUGGGGGUGAAAGCCCGGGGCUCAACCUCGGAAUUGCCUUCAAUACUGGCUGUCUUGAGUGUGAGAGAGGUGUGUGGAACUCCGAGUGUAGAGGUGAAAUUCGUAGAUAUUGGGAAGAACACCGGUGGCGAAGGCGGCUCACUGGCCCGUUACUGACGCUCAGGCGCGACAGCGUGGGGAUCGAAACAGG
rnacentral:rRNA from 1 species